rnacentral:rRNA from 1 species
UACGUAGGUGGCAAGCGUUGUCCGGAUUUACUGGGCGUAAAGAGCGCGCAGGCGGUCGAUCAAGUCGAGUGUGAAAGCCCCCGGCUCAACUGGGGAGGGUCAUUCGAUACUGAUCGACUCGAAGGCAGGAGAGGGUAGUGGAAUUCCCGGUGUAGUGGUGAAAUGCGUAGAUAUCGGGAGGAACACCAGUGGCGAAGGCGACUACCUGGCCUGUUCUUGACGCUGAGGCGCGAAAGCUAGGUGAGCAAACGGG